CUGGUGACCCCCCAAGGCUUGUGAGCUAUAAAACUUUCUCAUGCAAAAGUUGCAUGAGAAAACCUUGUUAGUAGCAGCAGGCUUUGACGAUAAUACAGGAUCACAGUCUCCAGCUGCGACUGGUUGAUAUCUGUUGAGGCCUAGACUCAACCAUUCCUUCAGAUUAUCAUCCUCAUCAGCUUGUGAUUGAUCGCUGUUGGUGACUUUUGAUUCAGCAUCUUUGUUAUUGAGAGAAGAUAUCUCUCUUGCUUCUUCUUCCCCAACCUGGAAAAUCA
rnacentral:misc_RNA from 1 species